GACGAACGCUGGCGGCGUGCCUAAUACAUGCAAGUCGAGCGGACCACUUCGGUGGUCAGCGGCGGACGGGUGAGUAACACGUGGGCAACCUGCCUGUAAGACUGGGAUAACACCGGGAAACCGGUGCUAAUACCGGAUAAUCCUUUCCCUCACAUAAAGGAAAGCUGAAAGACGGUUUCGGCUGUCACUUACAGAUGGGCCCGCGGCGCAUUAGCUAGUUGGUGAGGUAACGGCUCACCAAGGCAACGAUGCGUAGCCGACCUGAGAGGGUGAUCGGCCACACUGGGACUGGGACACGGCCCAGACUCCUACGGGAGGCAGCAGUAGGGAAUCUUCCGCAAUGGACGAAAGUCUGACGGAGCAACGCCGCGUGAGCGAUGAAGGCCUUCGGGUCGUAAAGCUCUGUUGUCAGGGAAGAACAAGUACCGGGGUAACUGCCGGUACCUUGACGGUACCUGACCAGAAAGCCACGGCUAACUACGUGCCAGCAGCCGCCGUAACAC
rnacentral:rRNA from 1 species